AUUGAACGCUGGCGGCAGGCCUAACACAUGCAAGUCGAGCGGAUGAAGGGAGCUUGCUCCUGGAUUCAGCGGCGGACGGGUGAGUAAUGCCUAGGAAUCUGCCUGGUAGUGGGGGAUAACGUCCGGAAACGGGCGCUAAUACCGCAUACGUCCUGAGGGAGAAAGUGGGGGAUCUUCGGACCUCACGCUAUCAGAUGAGCCUAGGUCGGAUUAGCUAGUUGGUGGGGUAAAGGCCUACCAAGGCGACGAUCCGUAACUGGUCUGAGAGGAUGAUCAGUCACACUGGAAAUGAGACACGGUCCAGACUCCUACGGGAGGCAGCAGUGGGGAAUAUUGGACAAUGGGCGAAAGCCUGAUCCAGCCAUGCCGCGUGUGAAGAAGGUCUUCGGAUUGUAAAGCACUUUAAGUUGGGAGGAAGGGCAGUAAGUUAAUACCUUGCUGUUUUGACGUUACCAACAGAAUAAGCACCGGCUAACUUCGUG
rnacentral:rRNA from 1 species